CACGUAGUUAGCCGGUGCUUCUUAUACAGGUACCGUCACAAAAAGCUUCGUCCCUGUCGAAAGGGGUUUACAACCCGAAGGCCGUCAUCCCCCACGCGGCGUCGCUGCAUCAGGCUUCCGCCCAUUGUGCAAUAUUCCCCACUGCUGCCUCCCGUAGGAGUCUGGGCCGUAUCUCAGUCCCAAUGUGGCCGUACACCCUCUCAGGCCGGCUACCCGUCGACGCCUUGGUAGGCCAUUACCCCACCAACAAGCUGAUAGGCCGCAAGCUCAUCUUGCACCGAAAAACUUUCCAACCACCACACUAAAGACGGUUCCUAUCCGGUAUUAGACCCAGUUUCCCAAGCUUAUCCCAGAGUGCAAGGCAGAUCACCCACGUGUUACUCACCCGUUCGCCACUCGAGUACCCCAGCAAGCUAGGGCCUUUCCGUUCGACUUGCAUGUGUUAAGCACGCCGCCAGCGUUCGUCCUGUAGCCAGGAGUCAAACUACU
rnacentral:rRNA from 1 species